rnacentral:rRNA from 1 species
UACGUAGGGUGCGAGCGUUGUCCGGAAUUAUUGGGCGUAAAGGGUGCGUAGGCGGUUUGAUAAGUCUGAUGUGAAAUCUAUGGGCUCAACCCAUAGCCUGCAUUAGAAAACUGUCGGGCUUGAGUAUGGGGAGAGGUGAGUGGAAUUUUCCGGUGUAGCGGUGAAAAUGCGUAGAUAUCGGAAGGAACACCUGUGGCGAAAAGCGGCUCACUGGACCAUUACUGACGCUGAUGCACGAAAAGCUAGGGGGGAGCAAAACAGG